rnacentral:rRNA from 1 species
AGAGUUUGAUCCUGGCUCAGGAUGAACUUUGGCGGCGUGCCUAACACAUGCAAGUCGAGCGAUUUACUUUGGUAAAGAGCGGCGGACGGGUGAGUAACGCGUGGGUAACCUGCCCUGUACACACGGAUAACAUACCGAAAGGUAUGCUAAUACGAGAUAAAAUACUUUUAUCGCAUGGUAGAAGUAUCAAAGCUUUUGCGGUACAGGAUGGACCCGCGUCUGAUUAGCUAGUUGGUAAGGUAACGGCUUACCAAGGCGACGAUCAGUAGCCGACCUGAGAGGGUGAUCGGCCACAUUGGAACUGAGACACGGUCCAAACUCCUACGGGAGGCAGCAGUGGGGAAUAUUGCACAAUGGGCGAAAGCCUGAUGCAGCAACGCCGCGUGAGCGAUGAAGGCCUUCGGGUCGUAAAGCUCUGUCCUCAAGGAAGAUAAUGACGGUACUUGAGGAGGAAGCCCCGGCUAACUACGUGCCAGCAGCCGCGGUAAUACGUAGGUGGCAAGCGUUAUCCGGAUUUAUUGGGCGUAAAGGGAACGCAGGCGGUCUUUUAAGUCUGAUGUGAAAGCCUUCGGCUUAACCGGAGUAGUGCAUUGGAAACUGGGAGACUUGAGUGCAGAAGAGGAGAGUGGAACUCCAUGUGUAGCGGUGAAAUGCGUAGAUAUAUGGAAGAACACCAGUGGCGAAAGCGGCUCUCUGGUCUGUAACUGACGCUGAGGUUCGAAAGCGUGGGUAGCAAAUAGGAUUAGAUACCCUAGUAGUCCACGCCGUAAACGAUGAGGACCAAGUGUUGGGGGUGAAACCUCAGUGCUGAAGUUAACGCAGUGAGUCCUCCGCCUGGGGAGUAUGCACGCAAGUGUGAAACUCAAAGGAAUUGACGGGGGCCCGCACAAGCGGUGGAGUAUGUGGUUUAAUUCGAAGCAACGCGAAGAACCUUACCAGGCCUUGACAUGGGAUGCGAAGAUGCAGAGAUGCAUCAGAGGUUAUCAUCCACACAGGUGGUGCAUGGUUGUCGUCAGCUCGUGUCGUGAGAUGUUGGGUUAAGUCCCGCAACGAGCGCAACCCUUAUUACUAGUUGCCAGCAUUAAGUUGGGCACUCUAGUGAGACUGCCGGUGACAAACCGGAGGAAGGUGGGGACGACGUCAGAUCAUCAUGCCCCUUAUGACCUGGGCUACACACGUGCUACAAUGGACGGUACAACGAGUUGCAAACUCGCGAGAGCAAGCUAAUCUCUUAAAGCCGUUCUCAGUUCGGACUGUAGGCUGCAACUCGCCUACACGAAGUCGGAAUCGCUAGUAUUCGCGGAUCAGCAUGCCGCGGUGAAUACGUUCCCGGGCCUUGCACACACCGCCCGUCAA